rnacentral:rRNA from 1 species
CCUACGGGUGGCAGCAGUAGGAAAUUUUCGUCAAUGGGCGCAAGCCUGAACGAGCAAUGCCGCGUGAACGAGGAAGGUCUUCGGAUCGUAAAGUUCUGUUGAAGGGGAAAAAGAGCGGAGAGAGGAAAUGGUCUCCGAUUGAUAUUACCCUUCGAGGAAGUCACGGCUAACUACGUGCCAGCAGCCGCGGUAAUACGUAGGUGGCGAGCGUUAUCCGGAAUGAAUGGGCGUAAAGGGGGCGUAGGCGGCCUGCUAAGUCUGGAGUGAAAGGUACCAGCUCAACCGGUACAGGCUCUGGAAACUGGCGGGCUAGAGAGCAGGAGAGGGCGGUGGAACUCCAUGUGUAGCGGUAAGAUGCGUAGAUAUAUGGAAGAACACCAGUGGCGAAGGCGGCCGCCUGGCCUGUUGACUGACGCUGAGGCACGAAAGCGUGGGGAGCAAAUAGGAUUAGAUACCCGAGUAGUC